CCAUCCCUUCAACUACUAUAUAUUAGCUACUUCACCAUCUUGUGUUGGAGACAUUGAUAGAAGAUCAUAAGCUUGAAAAAAAACAUGAUGAAGUUGAAGUCAAAGAGGUUUUUGCAGAGGCAGCUUUAGGUUUGGCAAUGGAGGAAAUGGUGGUGAAAAGGGAUGUGCAAACAACAGCAAUAUUAUUAGUGAAAUCAAAUGGGAAGUUAAUGGGAAGUUAGGCCUGGUGCGAUGCUUAUUCAAAGGAGAGAAACUAGUGGUUCAAGAGAAGGGAUGAUCACUAUUGGAGUCUCAACAGUUUCUCAAUUCAUGAUGUUUCCAUUGAAUCAACUUCCACUUUUUGAGAAUUAAAGUUGGUGUUGUCAUUGAUAACAAGCUUGGAGCCAAGAGAGCAGGGGGUAUUAUUUAAAGGGAAAGAAAGGGGAGAUGAUGAAUAUUUACACAUGGUUGGGUAAAAGAAAAAGACAAAGUUCUUUUGUUUGAAGAUCCAGCCAUCAAAGAGGUGAAGAAGCUUCAUAGAUUGGCAGGAACCCAACAAUUUGGAACCCCUUAUUGCACAAUAAGUGUAUGACUAUUUAUUCAAAAUAACAA